UCUCUGAAACACAGCAAGACAGAACAUGUCAGUGAUACUGAUUAACCAAUGGACUAUGACACACUGUCCUAUUAAAGGAACACCAAUUUUACACAUCACAUGCCUUUAACUUAGCUUCUGUGGCUAUGAAGGAGUUUUCUGCACAAAUAUUUCAGGCCUGAUCAAACCUCUCAGCCGCUGCUCUGACACAUCUUGUGAAGUCGCAGCUCUACCAACAUCUGCAUGUCAGCUGACACAAACUGGCCAGCGCAGGAUGACUGCAUCGCUCACACAAAUAGAUUUAACAAAGCAGCACUGAGGAGCCAGACCGCAUCAAUUUUUUAAACUUGAAGGGAGGUCGCAGUGAGCUCACCCCGCGCUCUGUCUCGAUGCGGCACCGGCUGCAUCUUCUAAAAGGGCUCUUUGACCGGCCGCUCGGAGAGACUGAGCACUGCCCGUCCCUUUAAAACAUCCAGACCCCCCUCCUCUCUCCUCCAACAGAAGGCUUCCCCUUCUCCGACUCUCGGCACUCGACAAACAACUGGCAGCCAUUUUGCUUGAUGUGCCACUUCACCUCGAGGGCCUCUGCCAAGUGUGCCUGUGCUCUUUUACACCUCAUUUAAAAACUCAGUGGGGAAUGUUUUAGUGUACUACAACACAUUAUCUGUAACAUUACACAUUAUUUUGAGUCUUGACCCUGAAAACACCUCUUUUGGGAUGUGUAAACUACUCUGUAUUGACAUUUGGUUAAUAGUUAUGGCUACAUAGCUCCUUGAUAAAUGGUGUCCUGGCCAGAUCUGAAUCACUACCAAAACCUUUGCCAGAGGUCAGACUUGUUGGAGAGUUCAGAAGUUUUUUUUUUCAUUAAUAUCAAACAAGGUGGAUGUUUUUUUAAAUUUAUCUGUACUAGGGGCUGCAAGAUUUUCAUGUUUAUAUGCUUUUUUUCUGUUUUUAAAUGAAUCAAUAUGAAAUAUGAAAACUAAAGAAACACCUAUUGAUCACCCUAAAGCCCUAAAUGAUGCAUCCUGCUGCUUAUGAGCCUGAAAAUUAAAGCUAUCCUGUGGAGUUUUUGACCACAA